rnacentral:rRNA from 1 species
CCUACGGGAGGCUGCAGUGGGGAAUAUUGGACAAUGGGGGGAACCCUGAUCCAGCCAUGCCGCGUGUGUGAAGAAGGCCCUCGGGUUGUAAAGCACUUUCAGUGAGGAAGAACGCCUGGUGGUUAAUACCCAUCAGGAAAGACAUCACUCACAGAAGAAGCACCGGCUAACUCCGUGCCAGCAGCCGCGGUAAUACGGAGGGUGCGAGCGUUAAUCGGAAUUACUGGCGUAAAGCGCGCGUAGGUGGCUUGAUAAGCCGGUUGUGAAAGCCCCGGGCUCAACCUGGGAACGGCAUCCGGAACUGUCAAGCUAGAGUGCAGGAGAGGAAGGUAGAAUUCCCGGUGUAGCGGUGAAAUGCGUAGAGAUCGGGAGGAAUACCAGUGGCGAAGGCGGCCUUCUGGACUGACACUGACACUGAGGUGCGAAAGCGUGGGUAGCAAACAGGAUUAGAUACCCCAGUAGUC